AGACUCUCCUCUAACCUCCCCGUUGCGCCGACUAGCACGCGCGCACACGCGCAUUCGCUGCAGCCGCACUGGAGAGCUGUGGUUGAGGUGACGGCUUUAUCUCUCACGCCUCAUUAGAGAGGGAUCCGCCUGUGCGCGGUUUGCACACAGACCUUGAGCGCAUCUGCGCGCGCUAAUGUGAGGAAACGCUCUGCGAGAAAAAAUCCUGCGUGGGUGGGUGGAUAGACGGAAGAACGAGGACGAGAAGAGGGAAGCUGGAUCGGUGCGCAGGAGCUCCACGGAAAACGCAAGUUAUGGCCACUGCAUAGGAAUCCAUCGCGACGGCUGCAGGGUGUGAAAAUAAAGUGUGAGAGGAGGAACAGAGCAGAAAGAAGAGGGAUCUACAAUGGCAGCAGAAGAGAAGCCUGCUGUGAAGAGCAGUACCUCCAUUCUACCAUGUUUCCUAUUUGUGGAGCUGGUGAUCAUGGCAGGCACCGUUCUCCUGGCGUACUACUUCGAAUACACGGACACCUUUCCCGUGCACAUCCAGGGCUUCUUCUGCUUCGACAAGGCAUUCUCCAAACCCUACCCUGGACCGGAGGAGAGGAGUAACGUUCCUCCGGUGCUCGUGUACUCUCUGGUAGCUGCUAUCCCCACUAUAACCAUUCUGGCCGGCGAGGUGAUGGUGUUUUUCAUGAGGUCGGAGGGCACGCAGGAGAAGACCAUAGUCACAGCCGACUGCUGUUACUUUAACCCUCUGCUCAGACGCAUCAUACGCUUCCUAGGUGUCUACACCUUCGGCGUGUUCACUACCACCAUCUUUGCCAAUGCUGGACAGGUAGUGACAGGAAACCAGACGCCUCACUUCCUGUCAGCGUGCAGACCAAACUACACAGCACUGGGCUGCCAUUCCAACCUACAGUACAUCACAGAGCGCAAAGCCUGCACGGGAAACCCCCUCAUAGUAGCAUCUGCGCGGAAAUCCUUUCCCUCCAAAGAUGCAGCCCUCAGUGUUUAUUCUGCAGUGUAUACAGUGAUGUAUGUGACGUUGGUGUUUAGGACUAAAGGGACGCGUCUGACCAAACCCACACUGAGUCUGACUCUGCUGUGUCUGGCCAUGCUGGUCGGUGUGGUCAGAGUGGCUGAAUACCGCAACCAUUGGGCCGACGUCCUCGCUGGAUACUUCACCGGCGGAGCCAUCGCUGUCUUUCUGGUGACGUGUGUUAUCAACAACUUCCAGCAGACAAAGCCCCCACCCCCACCGGUGCGACCCCAGCGCCCUGAGUCUGUGCUGGGCAUGCCCAUGGUGGCGCUGCCCUGCGUAGAGAGUCCACUUGAAAAGUUAAGUGGCACUCAGGUAAGGGGUGGGAGUGGGUUAGUGGCAGGGCUGCACACAUAAGGGGGAUGGAUUAUGCCCCACCCUGUCCUUCUGUGUUUGACCCAGUGGACCCUAAUGUGACUCCCAAGACCCACCCAGCCCUCCUUCUCCCUUUACUAGCAUGUCAACCCAAACACCAACCACAGCACCCUGCAAAACUCACUGACGCUCUGGAGGAUUGAUCUGCUCCUUGCUUAUCCCGAAGAGACGUUACAUUACAUUUAUAAUAGAGUAACUGAGAAGCAGCGGAAUGUUUAUGGCCAAUAACUCAUUGAUCCCUCAAUGGGUUGAUGGGAAUUUAAAGAGCAGUCUUUAGAGCAGCUGUACCUUUACGACAAAUAAAGUGGACUGUGUAGCAUGUGGAACUUCAAAGACGGAAGGCCAUUAGAUGGUUCAUUCUGGGAAAAAUUACCACAGUACUCCAAGGGGAUCUUCAUUCACUGAGAUCACAUGACCAUCAGCCUCAUCGGUUCCCCGUCCCCCCCGAUGUCCUCAUACCGUCUCGCUCCAUUACCAGCGAAGUCUAGACCAGCCCUCCCAGCACGCGCGCCACUGCGCCGCCCACUCCGCGGGACGCUCCGCCGCUCUGCACCGCUCCUACUCGACGCAGGUCUAGAUUUCCUCACUUCAAACCCCUCAUCCUCCAUAUUCCUCCAUGCUGCCGAUAGGGCCUCCACAAACCGUUCAAACAAACCACGAGAAGAACUUUUAGAGAGCCUGCUCGGAGAUCCUGAACGCCUGAACAAAGCCAGGAAUCACAGUUAAGCGUCUCUUUUUUUGCCAGAGAGUUUGUUUGGACUGUGGGUGGAGGAUUCGCACCUGUUCAGACCUCUCAAAACCAACCCGACCUACUUCCUGGGGAACCGAUGAAGAAGCCUUGAUCAGCUUUUGGCUGAAAUUCAGAACUCUGGCUGCAAUUUUUACUGCAGUGUCAGUUCAUAUGUAAAUACAUGCACUGUUUUGUUUUGUUUUUGGCAUUUUGGUUAAAGGCAUGUCUGUUUUGUUCCUUUUCGUUAAUUAGGGUGACCAUACGUCCUCUUUUUUCCCCGAUGUGUUUAUAAAUUGUGUAAAAUGUCUGGGUUUUGGCUUUGUUUUCCUAUUGUUUUCAUACUUGCUGAAGGUAAUGACUGAAAAGUGCUUUGACCAAUAGCAUGCAGGCAUUGUAUAAAAUCGACCAAUCGUGGCGUGCAAGAAGGCAGGAUCUACAGAGAACAUCAAAGCAAUGCAAAUACAUAUACAUAUAAUGUAAAACAAAGCCAAAACCUGAACAUUUUAGGCAAUUUAGAAAUCCCAACCAGGACAUAUGGGAAAAAGAGGACGUAUGUUCACCCUAGCACUGAUGGAGUUUUUAAGUUACAUUUAUAGUCAUCAAUAUGUAUGGUUUUGAAAAAAUGACAUACAUAAACUAUCUAUUGAUUUGUUUUUGAGUCAUAUUCACUAUGCACUUGGGACAAUCUCAUCAGCAUCAGCUAUCUGGACAUCCUGUAAGUGCACAUCAAGGAAAAAACUCUAAACUUGGAGAUGUUCUUGAUAUCAGCUCUUGUAAUAAUGUUUGGAUGCAUCGUAAGGAAUUGAUAGACAGAAUGACAGACACAUAAAAAUCGACCACAGCAUUCUUUUAAUAUUUAAUGUCUGGUUCGUGCUCGCAAGGAUUUUUCCACCAGCUAGAUAUAAUGCACAGUCUGACACGAAGGCCUUUUCAUUAUUGUCUCCCUAGACACAAGGCUUUCAGACAUGAGACAUUCUUACAGUUUUUCAUCAAAAUAUGGAUUGGAUUCUUCAUUUCUCAGGAGAGAAAAGCAAGAAAAGCACCCCAUGAUGUCAACAGAACAGUAAAGACAGCAUCUGCAUUGUUGUUUGUAUUUCUGUGAAAGUUUUCGAAAGUGGUAACUGGAGGUCAGCUAGUUUCUUUCCUGUAUAGUGAGCAGCCCUUUCACAUUCAUAUAGCCAUGUGUUACUAGCAGGGUCGUGCGGCAUUCAGAAUUGAAUUGAAGACUCCUUUCGAUUUAGAGUUCAUAAAUUUAAAUUGAACUUGAACUUGAGGUAGCAAAGAGAUUCAGUUUUAAAGUUUUGAAUGCAAGGAAGUAGAAUUAAAAUUAAUUCAAAUUUUAAGAAAUUCUGUACAGUAAGCUUAAACUAGAAAUGAAAGUUUUAUUUAUUUUUUU